UACGGAGGGUGCAAGCGUUGUCCGGAUUUAUUGGGUUUAAAGGGUGCGUAGGCGGCCCGUUAAGUCAGUGGUGAAAUCCCAGGGCUCAACCCUGGAACUGCCAUUGAUACUGACGGGCUUGAGUUCGGUUAAGGCGGGCGGAACUGGUGGUGUAGCGGUGAAAUGCAUAGAUACCACCAAGAACCCCGAUUGCGUAGGCAGCUCGCUGGGCCGAAACUGACGCUGAGGCACGAAAGCGUGGGGAGCGAACAGG
rnacentral:rRNA from 1 species